GAUAUCCAUAAUUUAUGGUACAAAUUGAUACAAAUUGAUAAUAGGUUAGGUAAAUGUUCCAUGAUAAUGGGUUAGGUAAAUGUUUCAUGAUAAUAGGUUAGGUAAAUGUUCCAUGAUAAUGGGUUAGGUAAAUGUUUCAUGAUAAUGGGUUAGGUAAAUGUUUCAUGAUAAGAAUAUCAUGUCUUUUGUAUUAAAGAAUUAAAUGGAUGAAAUAUGAAGUUUUAUUAAAAGAAAAAGGGGUGAAAAGAACAAAGUUUUGUCCAUCUUUGUUCAUCAUAGCUGAAAAUUAGAGAAGAGAAAGGAGAGGAGAAAGCUCUUGAGUAUUCGGUCAUUAGGAGGAGAAAAAUUGAAGGUAAUCCCCAACCAUAGUGGGCUUGGAGCUGUGAGGGAAUUUGGAGUGGCCACCCUUUCUGAAAGUUUGAUUUUCUUCUGGUGAACUGGACAUCCUUUUAUUUACGUUUGAAGUUUUGGGUUUUUAAAUGUAAUAAGGCCGCUUAAUUAUUUUUGAUGGUUUUAAUAUGUAUUACUAAGAUAGGUAAUACUUA